GUGGGUUAAGAAAACUUGCAACAUGGAGCUCCUCAGGCAACAUGGGGAGAAGAAAGCCUCCUGUGCAAACCCUGCAUAGGCUUCGGCACAGAUCAGGUGCUGGGCUCCUCACAGCUUUCAGAGAUAAUGACUACAGAAUCACUGUUACACCCUUAUACUGAAAUGCAAUAAAAAAUGCGAAGAGUGACAAGCAACAUACUGAAGCUUCUCUUCUUGAUGUCUUCAUCUCAGAAAUCACUGAAAAAUUAUUCAAAAGCCUCUGAUCCUGCCAACACCAUCACUUUUGUAGAUAUCUGCAUCUGUGCAAAAUUUCUUCUAAACUCGAUGUCUCUCAGCCAGCACAAAGGAUUGACCUUGCAGAACCUCCUGAACCAAACACUUUUGUGA
rnacentral:lncRNA from 1 species